UUAAUGUGAUUUAGACUUAUGCCUGCGAAAUGCCACAAAACAGAGUUUCGUUGCCGCCGGCGCGGUCACCGCCGUUUCUUGCAGCAAACUUUUAUUCGGAAACACUCCCGAGUCGUUUGUCGCCAGGCCAACCUCCCCAGGCAAAGAGUAACCUACUUCAAGGGUAGGGGCACUACCAACGUCCUUUGGGGAUUUUUCUCCCUUAGGGGGGACCUGCGGAGGGAUCAUUAAUGAGUUUUCUAAACUCCAAACCCUUGAGAACAUACCUAGUUGCCUCGGCGGACUUGCCCUGGGACGACCUACCCUGCAGCGAGUUACCCUGUAACGAGUUGCCCUGUAGAGACCUGCCCUGUAGCCUGCCCGCCGGCGGCCAACCUAAACUCUGUUUUGUGGCACUUCUGAGGAUUAUUCUAAAUGAAUUAAAACUUUCAACAACGGAUCUCUUGGUUCUGGCAUCGAUGAAGAACGCAGCGAAAUGCGAUAAGUAAUGUGAAUUGCAGAAUUCAGUGAAUCAUCGAAUCUUUGAACGCACAUUGCGCCCAUUAGUAUUCUAGUGGGCAUGCCUGUUCGAGCGUCAUUUCAACCAUCAAGCCCUAUUUGCUUGGCGUUGGGAGACUUGUAGGCCCGGCCUGCAAGCUCCUGAAAUAGAUCGGCGGAGUCGUGGCGACCCUCAGCGUAGUAAUUCUUCUCGCUUUAGGUGUCGGCGCUGGCGUUUAGCCGUUAAACCCCCUAUUUUUUUAGUCUUGACCUCGGAUCAGGUAGGAAUACCCGCUGAACUUAAGCAUAUCAAUAAGGCCGGAAGGAAAAA
rnacentral:rRNA from 1 species